GCCGGUAUGGCGGAAUCGGCAGACGCAAGGGACUUAAAAUCCCUCGAAGGCAACUUCGUACCGGUUCAAGUCCGGUUACCGGCACCA
rnacentral:tRNA from 1 species